GACGAACGCUGGCGGCGUGCUUAACACAUGCAAGUCGAACGGUAAGGCCCUUCGGGGUACACGAGUGGCGAACGGGUGAGUAACACGUGGGUGAUCUGCCCUGCACUUCGGGAUAAGCCUGGGAAACUGGGUCGAAUACCGGAUAGGACCACUGCCUGCAUGGGUGGUGGUGGAAAGCUUUUGCGGUGUGGGAUGGGCCCGCGGCCUAUCAGCUUGUGGGUGGGGUGAUGGCCUACCAAGGCGACGACGGGUAGCCGGCCUGAGAGGGUGACCGGCCACACUGGGACUGAGAUACGGCCCAGACUCCUACGGGAGGCAGCAGUGGGGAAUAUUGCACAAUGGGCGCAAGCCUGAUGCAGCGACGCCGCGUGAGGGAUGACGGCCUUCGGGUUGUAAACCUCUUUCAGCACCGACGAAGCGCAAGUGACGGUAGGUGCAGAAGAAGGACCGGCCAACUACGUGCCAGCAGCCGCAGUAA
rnacentral:rRNA from 1 species